rnacentral:rRNA from 1 species
UACGUAGGGGGCAAGCGUUGUCCGGAUUUAUUGGGCGUAAAGAGCGUGUAGGCGGCUAGGUAGGUCCGUUGUGAAAACUCGAGGCUCAACCUCGAGACGCCGAUGGAAACCAUCUAGCUAGAGUCCGGAAGAGGAGAGUGGAAUUCCUGGUGUAGCGGUGAAAUGCGCAGAUAUCAGGAAGAACACCCGUGGCUAAGGCGGCUCUCUAGUACGGUACUGACGCUGAGGCGCGAAAGCGUGGGGAGCGAACAGG